rnacentral:sRNA from 1 species
CCUAAGGUAACUAAUAUAGAUCUUAACUACAG